rnacentral:pre_miRNA from 1 species
UACGUACUCCCUCCGUCCGGAAAUACUUGUCAUCAAAAUGGAUAAAAGGGGAUGCAUCUAGACGUAUUUUAGUUUUAGAUACAUCUCUUUUUAUCCAUUUUGAUGACAAGUAUUUUUGGACGGAGGGAGUAGUUC